rnacentral:rRNA from 1 species
CCUACGGGAGGCAACAGUGAGGAAUAUUGGUCAAUGGUCGGGAGACUGAACCAGCCAAGCCGCGUGAGGGAUGAAGGUACAGAGUAUCGUAAACCUCUUUUGUCAGGGAACAAAGGCGGGGACGUGUCCCCGGAUGAGUGUACCUGAAGAAAAAGCAUCGGCUAACUCCGUGCCAGCAGCCGCGGUAAUACGGAGGAUGCGAGCGUUAUCCGGCUUUAUGGGGUGUAAAGGGUGCGCAGGCGGUCUGUUAAGUCAGCGGUCAAAGCCCGGGGCUCAACCCCGGCCCGCCGUUGAAACUGGCAGUCUCGAGUUGGAGAGAAGUAUGCGGAAUGCGCGGUGUAGCGGUGAAAUGCAUAGAUAUCGCGCAGAACUCCGAUUGCGAAGGCAGCAUGCCGGCUCCACACUGACGCUGAGGCACGAAAGCGUGGGUAUCGAACAGGAUUAGAUACCCUUGUAGUC